CCCGGCGGCGCUCGCUGCAGCGGCGGUGCCCCUGCGGGGAGGGAGCCGUCCGUCCGCCGCGGCGCCUGGGGCCGUGUUACGGGCGGGGGCAACGCCGGGGCCCGCAGCUGCGCCCCCCGUUCAGAGCAGUGUUUGAUCGGCGCCGCGGGGGGAGAGGACGGCCUUCCCGCCCUGAAACGCCGGCGGGAAGCGGGCAUGGCCCCCCGCCUGGGAGAGGAGGCGUGCGAGCAACUGGCAGGAGCAGCGCGGAGGUCUCCAUCCCGSCGAGCUGAGCCGUCGAGAAGGCGCUUUCAUCCCAGGCAGGCUGCGUGUGCUCCAUCUCAGUCCCUUCCUGGAAAGGCGAGGACAGCGGUGCUGCGCCUCCGUCCCUCAGCAGCCUUUGGGGCUGAGAGGAGCCCCUGGGGACGAGCUGUUCUUCCUSGCCUUCAGCAUCGUGUUGAGCGUGGCGGUAGCGUUCAGCAGAAACCAGGAGCUCCGUCUCCUGACACCCUUCCUUGAAGGCUGGUCCGUCUCCAUAAACGCAGCGCUCCUACUUUGGAAGUGGGAGCUGCCUUUGCCAUCUGCUUGCAGAAGCUGUUGUCUCUGGGACGGCCACGGAGGAGCGGGGAAGGGUACGGCACGCGCUGCCCGGGCCCCUCUCGCGCGCGCCUCUGAGCUCGAGAGGAAAAGUCACAGAAACAGCGCAGGUGAAUGGCCCUGCGGCUGCUGGAGCAUUUUCGGUCAGAGCUCAAGUACGAUCCAAAGGUCUGCUCGGAAAUCUGCUCACAACAGACCCCUGUAAAAUUUCUGGUCGGAGCUUUUUUUGCGUAUUUAAGAGCCAAGAAGCGGUCUCAGGAGCCUGCGGUUCGGGUGCAGUAUCCUGUGACGUGAUUUCGUCCUCCCCAGACUUGGGUGCUGCUUUGCUGUUGCCCCUUUGAAGGAGGAAAAAAGGAAGCCUCUGCAACUUCUGCAGUUGUGCUUCUUUAAAAUGCGUUGCUGGUAGUGUGGUUGGCAGCGCCUUCGCCAGCUCCUUGCCCUGGGUCUCUGCCGCUAAGGGGAGACGAGCGUGACCCGGGGCAGUGCUGGGCGGCUCCCGGCGCUGGCAGUCCGGGGAGAACAAAUUAAGAGGGAAGUAAAUCAGAAAUGGAGCGGUGUGCGGGGCGGCGCGGUGGGGGCGCGUCCGUGCGGCCGGGGCUGCGCCCUCGCUUGCCGGUGGGCGAGUCGGUGCCGCCGGGAGCAGCUUGUGCGGCAGGAGCUGGGGAGCGG
rnacentral:lncRNA from 1 species